AGUUAAAUAUAACCGAAUAAUAUCGGACUUCGGAUCCGAAGAUUGCAGGUUCGAGUCCUGC
rnacentral:tRNA from 1 species